CCAAUUGUAAACAUGGGAAUUAUGGCUAAAACUAUUUCUGUGUAUUUAAUAUAGUCAUCAGUAUAUAAGACCAACUUUCUUUUUUACCUUUCAUCUUAAAAGCUGAUAUUCCUUCAGGAAAUAGUGAACCUUCUACAUCUGCAAGUCCUGAAGACAAAUGGGAAGAUAAAAUUGAACAAGAUAAGUUCCACGUAAGUUACUGCAUGUAAUAGAUGGUAAUAGAUAUUUCAGUUGGUCUAUCAAAACAGUUUUUAAUUUAAAUAUCUUUUUUUAGCCAGUACCAGGAAAAGAUGUUUUGGAAAGUGGUAAGAAUAUUCCAACUCAGUAUAUGUCAGUGUCAGCAACUGCUAAAUUUCAAAACAUGAGUCAUGAGAUUCAUUGAAGUACAGUGCAGCACGAUUUUGUACUUGGAAAAGAAGCACUUGGACAAAAGACAGAAGCUUUUUUAUUUUCAAAGCAUUUCACAGUUGACAUCCAGAAGAACAAAGCAAGCAGAAUGAAAAAGCAACCAAAAUGGGUCGGUGUGUGAAAGAGGGAACUUCGCUGUUGGUCCUCCUCAAACAACAAGACGGGCAGCACCUGAAUGAAAUAAUAAAAUGUACAGAUACA
rnacentral:lncRNA from 1 species